UACGUAGGGGGCAAGCGUUGUCCGGAUUUAUUGGGCGUAAAGCGCGUGUAGGCGGCCAGAUAGGUCUGCUGUGAAAACUCGAGGCUCAACCUCGAGCUGUCGGCGGAAACCAUCUGGCUAGAGUCCGGAAGAGGAGAGUGGAAUUCCUGGUGUAGCGGUGAAAUGCGCAGAUAUCAGGAAGAACACCUAUGGCGAAGGCAGCUCUCUGGGACGGUACUGACGCUGAGACGCGAAAGCGUGGGGAGCGAACAGGAU
rnacentral:rRNA from 1 species